GAUGAAAUACUCUUAAGCUACGUGCAGCUACAUGGCCUGCCCUCUUCAUUGCCUCAAACCGUUUUUUUUCCAUGUUUUUCCUUAUUGACACAACUAUUGAUGAGCCAAUGCAUCUCUUCUAUAGAGAUCCCUCUUUACAACCACUGAUCCACCAUAAACACAGGAAAACCUGCCUCUGCUCCACAUUCAUGCUCACUCAGCACAACAUGUAGUGGUUGUGAUACUUUCUUGCAGUGAUAGAGCCCUGACCUUAAAUUCCUGAGUGAAAUCUAAGAGAACAAAGCCAUAUAUCCCAGCGAGUUUGGGAACAGGAGUAAGAACCUUAAUGAGGCAAAAUCCCAAUAGAGAAGGACUGCUUCAUAUCCUGACAUGCUUCUAUAUCCAAUUUGUUGGAAUUUGGUGGAUUCCCAUUUGGAGACAUGGUGAGAUAGAUGGAUUUCUUGCAGGGAAGUUGCAGUCAAACCCUGCUGAAAUGCCAAGAAUGCCCAUUGCCUGUAUCAGCUUUUUCUGGUGCAAUACCAAACCCAUUCUACUACUCAACCAGGAGACUGGGAGAAUAACUUCCAAACAGCCAGUUUUCUUCACCCACGAGAACUGCAGGCUCCAGUGCACUACAGACAUGCUCCGAGCUCUGAACAAGCAAGGACCCUUUGUGCAAUCCUCUAAGCAGACCCCUGGGCUCCGUGUUGCUCUGCCUGAGUAGAGCUGAUGUGACCAUUUGAGGGGUUCCUCAUGACUGCCGAACACGAGUGGGAUUCACAGUGACUCCCCUCCUUCUCCAGCUGCCUCUGAACAACUCACUCCCACACUCCAGCCUAUGGCAAGAGAACCUUCUCAAGAUUCUCUUCUGAUGAAGUGACAUCUCCUGUGGCUGCAGUGUUGGGCCUGGCCCUGGGUCUGCAGUGGCUGGGGAACACCAUGGUUUCCCCAUACAUUUCCCAGGGUGACAAGGGUUUGAGCUGUUCUUGCCUUUGUGUCUCCACUUGACCCAUGCAAUGGCAGUGGGAUGGCUCUGUGAACCAGAGAGAACUGAUCCAGGCUUGUACACUUUUUCAGGGAAGAAAUUAAACUUUGAAUCAUCCCUCA